rnacentral:rRNA from 1 species
AGCAAGAGCCCGGAGAUGGAUUCUGAGACAUGAAUCCAGGCCCUACGGGGCGCAGCAGGCGCGAAAACUUUACAAUGCGGGAAACCGUGAUAAGGGGACACNGAGUGCUAGCAUCAUAUGCUAGCUGUCCAGGUGUGCAAAAUACACCUGUUAGCAAGGGCCGGGCAAGACCGGUGCCAGCCGCCGCGGUAACACCGGCGGCCCGAGUGGUGAUCGUGAUUAUUGGGUCUAAAGGGUCCGUAGCCGGUUUGGUCAGUCCUCCGGGAAAUCUGAUAGCUCAACUAUUAGGCUUUCGGGGGAUACUGCCAGACUUGGAACCGGGAGAGGUAAGAGGUACUACAGGGGUAGGAGUGAAAUCUUGUAAUCCCUGUGGGACCACCUGUGGCGAAGGCGUCUUACCAGAACGGGUUCGACGGUGAGGGACGAAAGCUGGG